CAUCCUCUAAAUAAGGACAGGCAGGGAAUGGAAAGCUCUGCUUAUGAAAGGGAGUUCUUCAUCUUGUUCCCAGCUCAGAGAGCUACAAAGUCAUGGAGGCAGCAACCUUCAGCAGCAGGGCUCUCCAACACAGAAGUAAUUGUGCAGAUAUAAAGAGCUGAUGUGAACAAUCCAAACAAUGACGAAUAAUUGGUUGGAGCUGAUUCACAGGAAGUGCUGCACAGAUGACGUGAAGGUUACAGUCAAUCAUCGAGGAAAGUCAAGACAAGAACUCCAGUGAGAGACCACAGAGGAUUGCUGCUUUUAUUAGCUUCUCUCCCAGGCUUUCACAGCAACCUUGUUUCUAUAACCCAGGCCCAUGUGUCUAGGGAUGGCACUGUCUACAGUAGCAUGGGCCCUCCUACAUCUAUUAGAAAUUAACAAAAUGCUCCAAAGACAUUCCCACAGGCCAAGCUGAUGGAGGCAAUUCCUCAAUUGAGGUUCCUACUCCCCAGGUGAUUCCAGCUUGUCUCAAGUUGACAAAAACUAAUCAGCCCAUUAAAUAUAUAUUGAUAUUUAUCCUAAAUCUCUUUUGUGGGUUGUAUUUUCCUCUUACCCUUUUCCAUGAGUAAUGGGUUGUUUCAUUUUUCAAGACCCAGCU